rnacentral:rRNA from 1 species
UACGGGGGGGGCAAGCGUUGUUCGGAAUUACUGGGCGUAAAGGCUCGUAGGUGGCCAACUAAGUCAGACGUGAAAUCCCUCGGCUUAACCGGGGAACUGCGUCUGAUACUGGAUGGCUUGAGUUUGGGAGAGGGAUGCGGAAUUCCGCGUGUAGCAGUGAAAUGCGUAGAUAUGCGGAGGAACACCGAUGGCGAAGGCAAUCCCCUGGGCC